rnacentral:tRNA from 1 species
CCUUCGAUAGCUCAGUUGGUAGAGCGGGGGACUGUAGAUUUAUAAUUGUGAUCCCUAUUUUGCUGGUUCGAAUCCGGCUCGAAAGA